GCAGAUUUUUCCCAACACUUCCAUGACACAUCUAUGUUUUGAGCUUGCCAAAUAGCCAUCAACUUUUGAUUGGCCUGUGGAUUUCCCACCAUAUCAUCUGCCGAGACCAACAAUAAAGCAGGACACUUCAAUGAGCAAGCAGCCAAUUCAGAGAGUGAUUUCUUUACAAGGCUUACAUAAGGUAUAAAUUUGGCUAAAGCAUCCAUCAGCUUUCCUAAGUGGAUUGGCUGUAAAUAUGAGAUAUGGAAGGAAGGGAAAUAACUGGAGAGGAUAACACACAGCAAAAAUGGGAAAAUAAAAGGGAAAUGACAGGGCCACCCUAUAGCCUGCAAUAGUUGAAAAGAACAUACCCUUGUUAAGCAACCAUGUAAAAAUCAAAUAUCUGAGUAAGGGAAGGAGAGGAGGGGGAGAAUCUACAACAGAUAGACUAACAAUAGAAUAAUCUCCACUCACAUUGACACACAGACAUGGAUGAGGAAUGAUGUGUGAGACAACAGAGAUGCUACAUGUGUGGAUAGUCCUGAUCCACUCGCAAGAGGCCAACAAAUGGUACGGUACGUCUAAAGCCAGAGUGUGGGAAUGGAGGGAUGAAGCAACCCUGAUUAAGGUUGCUGGAUGAGGGCCCAGGAGAGAGGAAGAGGUAAUGGAGGUUGUUCUUAGAGAAAGACAGAAACCACAGUUGAGCCAGCCAGAAAGGAGCCACAAGAAGGACUCGACACAAAGUGGACUGGAUGAGAGAAAUUAAUCAGGAUAGAAGGUGGAUGCUAGAGUAUGCAUAAAGGAAAGGUUCUUCCAAUCCUGGCUGAAUGCAUCUGUGACCAAAGCCAAAGGAUUUGGAACUGGGGAUCAAAAGAGAGGAAGCUUGGCAUUCAAUUGAGAGGCAAAUGCACCAAGUUGGGGAGUAUCCAACUGAGAACAUAGCCAUCAGAAUACAUGGGGUUGAGAGACCACUUCGUGGGUAGAAUCUUGUCUGAAUGGGACAGAUGAUCUGUGACAAGAAUGAGGGCACCUGGUAUGUGACAAACCAACAAAUGAAUUUGAUAGCUGUGAGCCCAGAGAAGGAGAGUGCAUGAACAUAAAAACCAGGAUCAAGUGCUCCAUUAACUGAUGAUGUAAGAGAUAACUGUUAUGUUGACAGAAUGAAUUAUAACUAUCAUGCCCCACUGAGAUGAAAGGAAAUGAACUAUUGCCUGAUGACCAACAAGGAGUACCAAAAGAUUAUGUGAUGACCUAACUCCUCCUGAGACCAACAGCCCGAUAUCUUCUGUUAUUGCAGCAAGCACCUCAUCCUGACAAUGAGGCAUCUGUGAAGACAUGACAAUCCGGAAGGGUAGAAGGAAUAGUUCCCCACUGUCUUGUUGUCCCUGUCUAACCAGCAGAGGAAGUUAGAGUGAAGGGAAGCAGGAAGGGAUAUCUAUAAAUCCAGAGGGUUUCUGAUGAGGUGCCAAUGAUCUUAUAGUGUCCACUGCAAGGAGUGCAUUUAAGCAUGGCCUAGAAGGAUAAGAGCCUUUAGUGAUGCCCAAGUCCCUAAAACAGACAGAAUCUCUCAUGCAGGGAGAGAAGGUGCUGAUAGUGCCUUCUGAACUAAAACCUCCAUGGAUUGUAGAGGAAGAGGAGAAGGCUAGGCUUGACUGAGAUGUGAGCAAUAGGAAUGUGAAAAUAAGUGUCAGGCACAUUGAAUCUAAUCAUCCAAAGCCCUGGAAGAAAGGCCCAUCAGAGAGAAAGUAUUCCAUGGUGAACUGAGGCACAUCAAGGAAACAAUUCAGAUGGGAAAGAUCAAUAACAGGACACCAAUCCCCAGUCAUCUUGGGGGCAACAAAAAGUCAGGAACAGAACCCUGGAAUCACAGAAAAACCUACCCAAUGGUGUCUUUGAUGAGAACAUCUUGAACUGCUUCUGUGAGAUCCUGGGGGAAAUGGGAUCUUGAGGGGGGAAAGGAACUGAGAAGGGAAUAAAGUGGGAGAUGUGAGGAAAAGGAGGGAGAGUCCUUCUGAUAAAACCCAAAUGACACAAGUGUUGGUGGUAAAAGUCUCCCACACUUUUGAGAAAUGAGUAAGCCUGGUUCUCACAGGACCCAAAUCCAUAGGGUAGUCACUGGUACCACUGACAUUAUACAGGACAUUGGUGAACAAUGAUACAAUAUGUAGAUGUGGUCCAGGAAAGAGGAACCAGGAAAUAAGAGGAAAGAGGAGGGCAGGAAAUUGGAACUGGAGAUAAAGAGGUUGGGAUAAAUGGAAAGUAAGGGAAGAUAAGGAAUUGUGCAAUCUAGCAGAUUCAACACACGACUCCAAAGUGUUUGUAAAACCAACAAAGACUGCAGAUCUCAGAAAAAGGGAUGAUUGAAGAUCUAGCAAGAAAGGGGAAAGAACUCACAUGUGUGUCAACAAAGCAUCCCAACCCAAGAUAUCCCAGCAACACAGGAGCCAAAUGUGGAGUGAAAGGGCAGAUGAAGAUAAUUUGGGCAAGUUGGUGAGUUGGAGGAGAUGGGCUUCCACCAAAAACCCACAGGAGAGUGACAGAAAGCCUCAUACAACAGAUGAAUGGACAAUAAAUAAUGGAGGAGUGUUGUGAGGGAUAAAUGGAUGCAAGCAAAUUGUGCUCAAGAAAAACACACUGAAGUAUUAGGGUCAGAGCCCCAAAGGAGAAGAAGUGAAUCCAAAUGUUGUCCAACAAGAAAGGAUUCGCUGAAUGAUGAUAUACAAGUGCAUGAGCCCUUAUAAUGGGGUGCAACAUACCAACCCCCGCCUGUAAUGGAUCUGUAAAAUAUCAGGCAAAGGGGGUUAAACCAAAUAGUCAUGAACAUGGUGCUUCAAUUAAUAACGAAGGGGGAGGGAUAAAAUGACACUGGUGACAAAGACAAAACACAACAUACCUGUGAUGACAUUAUGUCUAAAAAUGGAGGUCUAGGUGCUUCAAUAUGCUGUGAACACACUUGCACAGAAAAGGAGGAGGGAAGGGAAGGCUGUCCAAGUUUAAAUCCUCAGGUAAAGAUAGAAUUGUUUGUAGAUCAGAAGAUCCUUCGGUGGGCAUAAAAUAAACCAUUUCCUGAUGGCUAUGGACGAUAUUUCCUCGACCAGUAAUACCACACAUGCAGCCGUUAUCACGGGCUAUUGAUUGAACACCAGUACUUUUGGUAGCCAUUGUAGUCAUAAUAGGAAAUUGUGAAUUUAAAAAUAGUGACUGACUCCUGGUAAUUGAGAGAGAAAUAGAAUUCAGAUUCAAAUAAAGAAAUCCAACAUGAUAGUGAAUUAUAUACUGAAUAUUUUAAAAACUCACUAAAGAAAAAGUUUGAAAUCAAGCACUAAGUCUUAACACUUUCGUGCCAAAUUGAAAGUGAAGAUUGGGUUCAGCUGCAAUAGGAAGGUGCGUCACACUCCUAUUAGUGAAUGGUUGUUGCAUGUUAAUUUGCUUAAACACAGCUGAACCAUGUAGUAUAAACGUAGAAUUAAGUGGGAGUUCAAAGCUAGUGGUGAGUGAAACUUUGUGCACUAGAGGGCAGUCAAAUCGAGAAUAGCUAUAACUGUGAAAAGAGGUAAGUAAUCAUAUCAGAAUCUAAAUUAACUAACUGAUCAAAAGUUAAAUGUCAAUAAAGAGCACUGAACUAUGGGGCCCAUGAAAUGCUGUGUAUACCACUGAAUACUUGGAUAGUUGAUCCUUUUAAUUAAUGAAUGAAAAGUGCAAAAUAUUAUUGCUAUUCCUACGUGUAUUCACAAUGUAGAAAUUUCUCAUCUAUAAAAAGAUUAUUUUAGUAAUUAUUUUUCUUCUUUACUGGAAUAUUUUUUGAAAAAGGAAUAAUUCCAAACUAAUAACUAUUAGGGAUAAGAUACACAAUUAAGCUUUAGAAGUGUCUCAUUUAACUUUUUUUAAUGAUUUUAAAUGCUGCUUAAGAUAAAUUAUUAAACACAUUCUUAUCCAGUCUUUAUUGACAGAAUAUGUCUUUAAAAUAAUUUAAGAGAAAUGAGAAUAAGGAAUUACAAACUUGGAAAAUGUAUUGUUUAUACAUCUUAGCACUUUUAGAAUGUUUCAUAUCCUACUUACAAUAAACUCUUCUACCUACUUAAAUCUUUUUCAUGCUGUGAUGCUUAUUUUAUUGCUGAUUAUCACAAAAACCUUAAAUCAUUUUGGGUUAAAUUGUAUAGAGAAAUGUGAAAUUCCAUAUUACUGCAUGUAACACAACUUAGUAAGAUUACAGGUAUAUUUGUAAAACUUUAAUCAUUUUACUGUCUUUUGACAUACACAGAUUUGUAACAUAUAAUUAAUUUUGAUUUCUUUUGUCUAAAUGCCCACAAGUGGUUCAGCACAGAUAUCACACUGUGUAGCUUUAUGCUUAACAACAAUCAUCUCUGUCUAGCUGUAAAUAAGUUACCAGAUAUUCAGUGAUUUGUUAACACCAUAGUAAAAGCUGCUUCAGAAAAGAUAAUGUUGAUAAAAUAAUAUAAUAUAAAGACCCUUACUUUUC
rnacentral:lncRNA from 1 species